GUAGUAUUCCCUCCGUCCCAAAAUUCUUGUCUUACAUUUGUUUAGAUAUGGAUGUAUCUAACACUAAAAUGUAACUAGAUACAUCCGUAUUUAGACAAAUUUAAGACAAGAAUUUUGGGAUGGAGGGAGUACAAA
rnacentral:pre_miRNA from 1 species